UUUUCUGCUGUGUGUGGAGAGACAAGAACAUGCACUGUGCUGUGUGUGGAGGAAUGCAGGAACGAGCGAGGAACAGGAGAAAUACAGGAAUAUACAGUUAAAAUCAGCCAACUGCUGCGAGAAAAAGUGUUAGAAUUAAGCAUUUGGCAGUACAAGAACCUGUAUGAGCUGCGCUUUCUAGCUUUGAUUCCUGUGGAUUUUCAUGAAGUGCACGUCUUUACUGCUCUGAGAGUGAGGCAAAAUGUGGGACAGAAGUGGAGUUGUAUGACUGAAUGGGUGAAUGGAGCUCUCAGCAGUGUAGCUGUGCACGGUCAGCCUGUGAGGGAAGCAGCACUGCAGCUUUCCACUUUACAGGCUCAGAAGACUCUCUGUUCACAGCUCCAACACUUAUCUCCCCUGAGCAGGUGUGUGUGUGUGUGCCAGAGUUCGCAUGCAGGCAAGCAUGGAUUUAUCUGACUUGUUUUUCUCAGCAUUCAGAUGUGUGUUUGUGCAUUUGCAACUGUGAAUGUGUGUGAAUGCAUGGGGAAUUUGUGUGUGUGCUGUUUCUAUGAUGGAGUGUGUGUGCACAUUUAUAUGUAGAUUAUAUACAUAUCCUGUAUCUGUGGAUGAGAGACACUUCCAUAAACACAGUUACCAUAUGACUGAGUGUGAGUUUCCUCUUAUCAAAGUGGAGGUGAGAGAAGCUGAGGCAGAAACAAGGUGAGAAGGAGAAAAAAGGCUGGACAACACUACUUUUUAAAAAUGCAUCCCUCUCACCUGCUUUUUUCUCCUUAAAAAAGUACACUGUAAUAGCCCAUUGCAAUUUUCCUCAGCACACAAUGCAGCACCAUACUGCAUCAAGGUGCUAUUGGCUAAAACAUCUGAGUGAUGCUUCACUGAGCCGUGUGGAGGCCAGGAGAGUCUCUGGAACGACUUACUCCAGGUGUGUGAAUUAUCUAAAAAUCUUAACUCCACACGCUGAUAUUGUCAUGUAUUAUUGUCACUACCACAAACAGCUAUUUAUUAUUUGAGGUAAAAUUUAUUGUAGUGAUGGAAAAGAGUCAUCUGAGGCAGUUAAAGAGAAAUUCUGAUAUGAAUAAAUUAUUGAUGGUUUACAUUAUAUAUUGAGUUCACCACUCUAGAAAGAUGGAAGCUGAUGGAGACAGAUAUGGCCAGUGUUCUCUCCUCAGUUGAGUGGCCAGUUCCUUCUGUGCUGCAGUCCUUGUUGCCACUGGCUCCCUCUGUUGGCCUGACAGGGUUUCAUUUGCCUCUAGGUACAGUGCUUUGCACAUUUUUUAUUUGUGCAUAAAAAGCUAUAAAUGUGGUAUACAAUGGUGGAGUUUACCAAGAAGCAGUGCUGAGGGGAAUGCUGGAACUCUAACACAGCACAGUCCACUCCUGCUCACACAGUAUCACACUGACACUGGGGCUAACUUUUAUAGUAAAUGUCUGGUUUGUAGCUUUACCUUCCUGAAGUUUUAUUAUACUAGUUUUGUGAUGCAACAGUCUGGGCUGCACUUGUUGGGAUUUAAUUCACCAUUUAAUUUAGCAAAUAAAACAUGAAAGAAAGAAAACAUAGCUUUUUUUUCAAAUAACAAAAAUUUAAAAUAAUGAUUAUUUUAAUACAUUUAAAUAUGAUCAAAUUAUGAAAUGUGUCAUCUUGUAAUCUUUCAUUGGAAAUAUGAUGAAACUAAAAAACAAACAAACUGCAAAACAAUAUACAUUUUAAAUAAAAUUGUGGUUACUGUUUUAAACAUCAGGGGGGGUUUCUGUUUUUUUUUUUUUUUUUUUUACAAUGUAUUGUUUGCUACAUUGACUGACAUUCUGUGUAUCAUCUCAGCCUUGCACCUAAAGAGUUUGAGUCAUUUCCCUGUUAUUGUUACAUCAAAAUUCUCCAGAAUGAGCAUGACUCCUAUGGAUAAUGGGCUGAUUAUGGUGAUUAACCAUUAUAUACUGGUUUCAGUCAUUUGAAUAAGACAAUGGCUUCCUUCUUUAUAUCAUUAGAAUGAAUUAGAAUGAUUCUCUAUCAUAAAAACCUGGUGAUCACUUCUGUUUUUUACUGUAUGAAGUGACAGUCGUGUGUGUGUGUGUGUGUGUGUGUGUGUCCGCACUUUAUGGUGUUUGAAAAGAGACAUGUUUUAUUAAAGAAUGUCAGAUCUCAAA